UACGUAGGGUGCGAGCGUUGUCCGGAAUUAUUGGGCGUAAAGAGCUCGUAGGCGGUUUGUCGCGUCGACUGUGAAAACUGGGGGCUUAACUCUCAGCUUGCAGUUGAUACGGGCAGACUUGAGUUCGGUAGGGGAGACUGGAAUUCCUGGUGUAGCGGUGAAAUGCGCAGAUAUCAGGAGGAACACCGGUGGCGAAGGCGGGGUCUCUGGGCCGUAACUGACGCUGAGGAGCGAAAGCGUGGGGAGCGAACAGG
rnacentral:rRNA from 1 species